UACGUAGGGUGCAAGCGUUAAUCGGAAUUACUGGGCGUAAAGCGUGCGCAGGCGGCUAUGCAAGACAGAUGUGAAAUCCCCGGGCUCAACCUGGGAACUGCAUUUGUGACUGCAUGGGCUAGAGUACGGUAGAGGGGGAUGGAAUUCCGCGUGUAGCAGUGAAAUGCGUAGAUAUGCGGAGGAACACCGAUGGCGAAGGCAAUCCCC
rnacentral:rRNA from 1 species